rnacentral:misc_RNA from 1 species
GAAAUGCGAUAAGUAAUGUGAAUUGCAGAAUUCAGUGAAUCAUCGAAUCUUUGAACGCACAUUGCGCCCCCCGGUAUUCCGGCGGGCAUGCCUGUUCGAGCGUCAUUUCAACCCUCAAGCUUUGCUUGGUAUUGGUGGCAGGCUGCAUGGCCUCCCCCGAAAAAUAGCGGCGGAUAGUUUGGAUUCCCAGCGCAGUGACUUUUUAUACACGCUGAACAGGAUCCCCAGGCUUUCCCGCCGGACAACAAACAAUUUUUCUUAUGGUUGACCUCGGAUCAGGUAGGGAUACCCGCUGAACUUAA